rnacentral:lncRNA from 1 species
CAAACCAUUUUAUACUAGCUAUAGAGACUACCUCACUUUGCUAUUUGCUAUUUGUGGUGAGACGACCGCGUCAAUCAAUCCAAAAAAAAAAGUGAGGAAAACUCUAAAGAACUCCCUAAUUCUACUUUUUAUAGUAAAAAGAAAAAAAAAUCCUUUACAUCUGAUCUGAACUCCCUAUAAUAAGCAUUUCAUAAAUCGCCCCUCUCUCUCCCACUUCUUUCUCCUCCCACGCACACGGUUUCCAUGUUUAGAAAAGAAACACUUAUUUUGUUCACUUAGUGGUAAUAUUGGUUUACCAAAUAAUUUUAAGAAGUUCUUAGAGAUUCUCUCAGUAAGCUAUAUUUUCUCGC